UGGGGAAUAUUGGGCAAUGGGCGCAAGCCUGACCCAGCAACGCCGCGUGAAGGAAGAAGGCUUUCGGGUUGUAAACUUCUUUUCUGGGGGACGAAGAAAGUGACGGUACCCCAGGAAUAAGCCACGGCUAACUACGUGCCAGCAGCCGCGGUAAUACGUAGGUGGCAAGCGUUAUCCGGAUUUAUUGGGUGUAAAGGGCGUGUAGGCGGGAAUGCAAGUCAGAUGUGAAAACUAUGGGCUCAACCCAUAGCCUGCAUUUGAAACUGUAUUUCUUGAGUGCUGGAGAGGCAAUCGGAAUUCCGUGUGUAGCGGUGAAAUGCGUAGAUAUACGGAGGAACACCAGUGGCGAAGGCGGAUUGCUGGACAGUAACUGACGCUGAGGCGCGAAAAGCGUGGGGAGCAAACAGGAUUAGAUACCC
rnacentral:rRNA from 1 species